AUCCAGGUGGCCAGUCCCAAACAGGAUGAAACGCGCGUCCUGGAU
rfam:Schistosoma curassoni strain Dakar, Senegal genome assembly, scaffold: SCTD_scaffold0000265